rnacentral:rRNA from 1 species
AUUGAACGCUGGCGGCAUGCCUUACACAUGCAAGUCGAACGGCAGCAUGGAGAGCUUGCUCUCUGGUGGCGAGUGGCGAGCGGGUGAGUAAUGCAUCAGAACGUACCGUGUAAUGGGGGAUAACGUAGCGAAAGUUACGCUAAUACCGCAUACGACCUGAGGGUGAAAGCAGGGGAUCGCAAGACCUUGCGUUAUACGAGCGGCCGAUGUCAGAUUAGCUAGUUGGUGAGGUAAAGGCUCACCAAGGCGACGAUCUGUAGCGGGUCUGAGAGGAUGAUCCGCCACACUGGGACUGAGACACGGCCCAGACUCCUACGGGAGGCAGCAGUGGGGAAUUUUGGACAAUGGGGGCAACCCUGAUCCAGCCAUGCCGCGUGAGUGAAGAAGGCCUUCGGGUUGUAAAGCUCUUUCGGCCGGGAAGAAAUCGCACAGGCUAAUACUCUGUGUGGAUGACGGUACCGGCAUAAGAAGCACCGGCUAACUACGUGCCAGCAGCCGCUGUAA